CCUUUAACUUUUGUGCAUGUUCAUUGUAGAACUCAUCCUGUAAAGUUAGGAAAUUAGAAAGUUAGAAAAUGCAUGGCAUAAUAAGAACUAUAAAAUAAUGGAAAGCAGUAAGGCAAUCUUAACAGUAAAACUGCCAAGUUCAGGUGAAUGGUUAUCUUUCUUUAGGGGGAUGGAAACCAAGGUGUGAUCGUGGGCAAUACUCCAUUUGUGCGUAUUAGGCAUAGGCACAAUUCUGGUGAAGUUAGUCUUGCCUAUUUCUCUGAAUUUGUUUGGGCCAACUGCAGGAAUGGACCAAGCAUAAAAGCCACAAGAAUAGGCCAUUAGGAGUAAUAAUAAAUUAUUAAAUUAAAGAGAAGAGGGCUCGCAACGAGAUUGAGGAUGAAUCAAGUAGUGAGGCUUGUAGUUUUGCUAUAACAAUGGACUGAAUUUAUAGACAAGGAGCCUUGGAGCCUCUUGUGCUUGUUGCUUUUUACACCAUCGGAAGCUUUUCUCACGGCAAAUAGAAAUUUUUUAUAUUAGGAAUGCAACAGUAUUUUUAAAGCACUUUGAAAGAGAAAUAGCAAAAUUUAAAAGGCAUUUAAAAAAAACAAAAAUUAUAAAAUCACUUUAAUGCUUGCCAAGGAGAUAUUUAAUUGGUGAUUCUUUCAAAAGAAAAAUAUUUUAAAUAAAAAUAUUGUUAAAUGCACACCAAGAUAAUAGUCAUUGUCAAAUUUUAGAAGCACUUAAUGAUGCCCAAGUUAACAUUCAAUAAAAUAGAUACGAAAUAUCAAAUUUAAAAAAUCAAAAUAUCAAAUAAAUUUAAAUAUUAUAAAAUAGAAUUACGAAAUCAUUCCAAAGUACGUAACUUUUAAGAAAAUAAUAGGAAGAAAUCACUUCAAAUAUAAUUUUUAAUAAUUUUAGAAACUUUUUAGCAAAGAUAAUCCUAAUUUUUUUUCAAAGAAUUCAGUAAUUUUUCUAAUAAAUUAUGAUUAUAUUUUCAAAUAAUUAAAUAUAAAUUAAUUGAAAAUGAUUUUUUACUAAAAAAUUAUCCAUAAUAUCAUUAAAAUUUUAAAUAAAAUAUAAGUGAUUAAUCGGACUUUGAUUCUUGUUAAGUUUUCUUAUUGAAGCAUGUUGUCUCUUAUAAUUUAAACUAAAUACAAAUUUUCUUAAUAUGUUAAAAGUUUUCAAAGUUAAAACCGAAAAAAUCCAACAUUAAUUAAUAAAAAAUUAAUAUAAUAAUUGCAUGGAAAAAUAAAAAUAAAAACAAAAAAUAAGUCAGAUAUACUAAAUGGAUUUUGUGAAAGCUUUUAUUUUUAUUUUUAUUUUUAAAAAAUUAAUUAUCCAACGACCUUUUUUUUUUUUUUUUUUUUUUGAAAUUCUAGCGAAAAAAAAAAAAGUUAUAUAUACUAAUUAAUGGAUUUUGUGAAAACUUUUUUCUUUUAAAAAAAAAAUUAAUCAUCCAACGACCUUCUUUUUUUUUUUAAUUUUAGCCUUCAUUGACACCACAAUUAUGGGUAGCCUAUGUACUAAGCUACAUUAACUCAUCUUCUGAGUAGGUGAGAUAUCAUUUUCUCUUAUCUGCGAUUUGAAAAAGGGAGAGUUGGUCGGCUGAGCUAGAAUAAUUAUGGGAAAAGGUGGUCUCUUAUGAUAAUUAUUGGGGAGANNNNNNNNNNNNNNNNNNNNNNNNNNNNNNNNNNNNNNNNNNNNNNNNNNNNNNNNNNNNNNNNNNNNNNNNNNNUUCAAUUAAAACUUUUAAAAUUUAAAAUAUUUAAAGCAUUUCACUUGAUUUUUUUAUGGUGUGUGGGCUUCACAUUUAUGUAAUUAUUGACAUUCAAAUUUUAAAUCAAAAUUUUGGAUUUAACCCUUACAAUUAUUAUAUAUAAUGAUCCGUAUAAUUUUUUUUAUUUAAAUUUAUUAUUUAAAACAAAAAUACUUCUAAAACAUAUUUUCAAAAUAUCAUUUAUUGUUUUUUUUUUACAUUUUUUAUUUUUCUUCUAAUUUUUUAUUUUAUUAAGAAAAAAUAAGUUUAUAAUUAUAUAAUAAAAUGAUGAUUUUUUCAUAUAUAUAUAUAUAUAUAUUAAUUUUAAAUUGAUAAAAUUAUAUUUUUGUAUUAAAUUCAAUGAAGAUAAAAUAUUUAAUUUUUGAUUCAGAUUAUCUAAAAAGAAUAAGAAAAUGAUAAUCAUUUUUUAUUUUUUAUAAUAAAAUAAUUUUUUAAAAAUUUGUAUGAUUUUUCUUUCUUUCUUAAUUUUCAUAUAUCUAUCUAACUAUAUAUAUAUAUAUAAUUUGUAUGAUUUUUCUUUCUUUCUUAAUUUUCAUAUAUCUAUCUAACUAUAUAUAUAUAUAUAUAUAUAUUUCUCAAUGCAUCGAGUGGAUGAUGUUAAUACAUUUGAUAUGUUGAAUAUUAAUGAGGUAUAAAAAGUGAUCUUCAAGAUUAUUACUUUUAUUAUAAAAUAUAGGUAUAACAAAAAUAUGUUAUAAUUACAAUAUAAAUACACUUACAUUAUAAUACAUUACAAUAAAACCUAAUUAGGAAAAUUUUGAAUUUUUUUAUAAAAAUGAUAAUUUUGUAUGAUCAUAUCGCAUUUCACAACAAACUUAUAUUAUAUAUAAUUUUUGAAACCAAAUGAAAUACUAAUUUGAAUUCACGAGAAUCAUAGUUUUAUAUAUAUAUAUACAAAAAUUAUUAAAUAAUUUCAAUGCACUAAAUGGAUGUUGUUAAUAUAUUAAUUCGAUGUGUUAAUAACAAUAGGGUAUGAAUAAACAUUUUUAAAAUUAUUACUUUUGUAAUGAAAUAUAGGUAUGACAUAAAUGCAUUAUACUUAUAAUGCAAAUACAUUAUCAUUACAAUAUAUUAUAAUAUAAUAUAAUUUAUUUUUGUUUAAUUUUUUCACGUGCUAUAUUACCCAAUAAAUAAUUGUGAGUUAUUCAAUUUAAUAGUUGUGUGUUAGUCAAUUGAGUAUUUAUAUAUUAUUCAAUUGAUGAGAGCUCGUAAAAAAUAAUUAUUCACUCUAUUAUGGUAACAAAGUUUUUAAUUGCAUGUUUCAUAUAUAAAACGAUAUAAUAACCUUAGGAUAUGGUUUUUAUUUAUGAGAUAUUGAAAAUUAUUUUUUUUAGAAUGUUCUUUAAAAAAUCUCAAUUUUUUUUGAAAAAAAAUAAUAAUAACAAAUUUUUAAACAGUCACUUGAUUGUUUAAAAGUGAAUAGUAAUUUUUUCGGGCCUGAGAAAUGUACUAUUGAUUACCUAUACUUAUCAUCAUGUAUGGGCCCCACAUCAUUGAUAGUCUCAAAUUUAUUUAUAAAUAAUAUAGAAAACAUAUUAAAGAUAAAAAUUGUCCUCUAAAAAUCCUUGAGAUGAGUGAGCCUUUCUAGUAAUUAUUUCAUCCAGCCUAUCCUAUUGGGUAAUUUUCCCUUAUUCAAAACACUCUUAAUAGAGUAGAGGAAAGCCAAAAAAGAAAGUAUAAUUGGUUUAAGUUCACCCAUCUUGUUAGAGAGAUUGCCCAAGAGUUAGUGCGUUUGAAGAUAUAGUUCAUCCAAGUUUGAUAUAAGUGGUUUUCAUAUCUAAAAUCACCACUCCAUCGUCGGAAGUAAGCCCUCAAAAGUUAUGCCUUCCCUAACCCAUAUUUGUUGAAGAUGUGGUAAGUUUAAAAGGAAGCACAUGAAUGAAGCAUUAAUGUGAUUUUUCUAUGGAAGAAUAUAAAUAAGAUAUGGAAAUUCCUUAAUUGAUCGACCCAUAGCAACUCCAAGAUUCCAUUAUUUUGAAUCAUUUUCCAUAAUAAUUUCAGAAUCAUUUUCCAUAAUAUGUGCUGGAUUUCUUGACUAGACUUGUACCAGGAAAAUUUUGUGGUUGUUGUGAUGUGCUAAGUGGCAACUAAUUCCUCUAUACCUCUACUAAAGCUCCAAAUUUGUGGCCGUUGUGAUGUGAUAUUGUAGACCCUCAUUUUUUUGCUCUAGUUUUUUUUUAUUAUCAUUUUUGGAGCACUUUGACGGCAGCAUGUUUUAGAGUAGGGGACGACUUCUACGGUUUUCGAAGGAGCCAAGCUGCAUGGACGUGUGGCUAGGGGACAUCACCACCUUGUCAAGGUAGUGGUUGAAGAUGGUGAUAUUUGCUGAACCAAGAGUAGGGGAGUGGGUGAAGACUUACGGGAGAAGAAAAAUCGAGUGGGGUGAAGAUUUUUUGGAAGAAAAAAUCUAGAGAGUGGGUCCUUAGAUGAGCUGGGAGGAGUGAGGGUUUGCUGAUUUUUUUGGGGAAGCAAGAGGGGGGUGAGCUAGCUGUAGGGAAGAUAGGGAGCAGAGCUGGAGAAAGAAAGAAAAGUUGGAGAGAGGUUGUCUUGAAGCUUUUCCAAGUAUGGUUGCCAUGAAUCUUAUUUCUUUUCAUUAAUAUUGUGUUCCGUCUCAUUUUUUGGGUAUUUUUUCGGUUUUUAUUUGUUGUUUGGAUGUGAUUAUAAGAGAUUAUAUGUUGUUUUACUGAUCUUGGAUUGAUUGCAAACUUCACACUGGUUUGUUCUAUUGCUUUCGGUUUAAAUCUGAUGUUGAAUUUGAAUAUGGACUUACACUUGAUGCUCGAUACUUGGAAGUUUUUUUAGAGGGGUAGAAGACUUUUUUUUUUAGUGUUUCUGAAGUUUUAGUAGGAGAAAGUUGAGUUUUUGAUCAUUUUGAAGGGGCGAAUUUUUCUGGGUUUGUGAGGUUUUAGUGAGAGAAAGUCUAGUUUUGAUGUUUUUAGAGAGAGAUUUCGUGGGCCUGUGAAGAUGCAAGUGUAGGAUGGUUUUUUUUUUUUUUUUUGUGUUUGGAGAGAAGCUUUGUGGGUUUGUGCAGAGUCUUAGUGAGAGAAAAAUGUGAGAAUCAAGUGAAGUUUUAGUGAGAGAAAGUUAUCAUUUUUUUUCCAAGGAUCAGAAACUAAAAAUCAUUGAAGAGAAGAAGAAAGAAUUGUUGAUUAAAGAUAUAAACAUCAAGAAUGAACGGAGGCAACUUGCGCCUUUUGAUUUGAAGGCUUAUAUUGAUGACGAGCCUUUGAUGCCGCGCCGACCACUAAAGCUUAGUUCAUUCCGAUUUCGGAAUCUGAUGAAAAUGAGGACAUGAAGACUGGUGCUACCCAUUUUUCUUAAGAAUCAGAAUGUGAGCUAGUGAUCUGCAACAUUUGUUUAGGUGUUUUGCAAUUCAUUUAUUUUUAUCACGAAAGGAAAUGGUAUAAUGGAAAAAGAUUCUGCUAAUGAGUUGAUUGUGUCAUUUUCUAACCUAUUAAAGAAAGAAAACAAUGAGUUUGAUAACCUCCACUCAUUUUACCACCAAACCAAUUCUUUAUUUAUUUAUUUAUUUUUCUCUUUCCCACUAUUUCCUCCACUUUUCCAACCCACUUUCAUGCACAUGCAGCCCACAUUUUCAUUUUAAUUCUUCAUUUUUUUUUGUAUCAAAGUUUAAUUUUCUAAAACAAAUUUCCAUCCUCAAAUAAAUCUCCAAAAUUUGAAAUUUCUGAAAUUCCAUUCUCAAAAAUAAUUUUUCCAAGAUUCCAAUGUUCGAAAUUUAAUUUUCGAAAAUUCUAUUCCCAAAUUUACUUUUAAAAAUAAUUUCUCAAAAUUCCAUUUUUCCAAGAUUUCAAUUUUUUUAAAUUUAAUUUUCCAAAAUUCCAUUUUCAAAAUAUUUUUUCCAAGAUCCCAAUUUUUUAAAUUUAAAUUUCCAAAAUUCCACCCUCAAAUUUACUUUUUAAAAUAAUUUAUCAAAAUUCCAAUUUUCCAAGAUUCUAUUUUUUUUAAAUUUUUUUUUUUUUUGAAAUUUCUAUUCUCAAAUUUACUUUUUUAAAAUAAUUUUUCAAAACUUCCAAAAUUCCAAACUUAAUUUUUAAAAUACCAUUCUCAAACAAUCUUCCAAAAUUCCAAUUUAAAAACUCCAAUUUUUUUCGCAAAUAAUUUUCAAAACUCCAUUUCUUAAAUUUAAUUUUCAAUUCCAAUUCUCAAUUAAUUUUCAAAACUCCAAUUUCUUUCAAAUUUAACUUUUAAAAUCCCAAUUUUUAAAUUUAAUUUUUAGAACUCCCAUUUUCAAAUAUUUUUUUAAAAAUUCAAAAUUUUUUAAAUGUAAUUUUCAAGACUCCAAUUUUCAAAUAAAUUUCAAAACUCUAGUUUUCUUUCAAAUAAUUUUAAUUUCACUUCAGUUUUCAAAUAUUUUUUAAUUCUACUACUUUUUAUCCUUUAUUAGGAUUUUAUCUCAUUUUUAAUAAAUUUGCUAUAUUUUUUCAGGUAAGCACUUUCACAAUUUUUCUUUGAUUUUAAAAUAAUUUUCCAUUUUCCUUGAUUUUAAUAAGCAUGAUGACAAAUUUUAUAAUUCCAAAACAAUUGAAUUUGUGGGAUUAAUUCAUGCAAAAUCAAAUGGGCUUUGGUGGGGGCCAUACAUAUGAGUUUUUCUCUUCUAAUUGUCGACUGUUAUGCUUAAUGAAUAUUGUUUGAUUUUUGUCUUGCUCUUUGAUAUGCAUGUGAUAAUUUUAUACUUGAGCUAACCUUGUUUUCAUGAUAACACACUAUUACUUGCUGCCAAGGUACGCUCUCACUCCCACUUUGCUUAUUAUCAUACAUGAUUCGUUUUAUUAUUUUAUCAUUUCACCGGUAUCCAUUGAUUUUUUUAUCAAUUGUUACACUUGCUUCACCUUAUUUAGUAGAGACCUUAUUAUAGGGCUUAGAGGGGCGCUAUGACUCACUACUGUACCUUCCCAAUAGGUAAUCUGACCCCCGGACCAACUUUGGUUUUUCACGGACCUGUUUUCUUUCAGGAGUCACGCCUAGGGUUUUUUUUCUUAUUUUAUUUUUUUCCUUUAAAAAUAAAACAAAAAUAAGUGGCGACUCCAAGUCUUUUCCAAAAAAUCAAAUUUUCACCAAAUAAAUAAAAAAAGCUAGUCACGCCAUCGAGUGGGAAUGCAUUGAGCAAAAUACGGGGUCCACAGAUAUCUAUCUCCUCUACUAGGCCUCCAAUUAGCUAGCAUCCACUUAUGCCCAAUGCAAAUUUCACAUUAUAAGUUAGGUGCAACAUCCCAAGUCAUAAGUGCUAAAUUUCUUGACCUGAUUUGUACAAAGAAAAAAUGUAUAUAUAUUUUUUAGGUAUGUGCCAAAAAGGUAUUGAUUAAUACUCAAAAUUGAUGUUUUUUGGUAUAUAAAAUAGGUUUUGAAAUCAUUUUUGAGUGCAAAUCAUUGUCUUUUUAGUUAAAAUAUUUGUUAAGUCUCCAUUGAUGACUAAUAUUUACAUCUAGUGAAAAAUACAGUAAAAGAAGAUAUCAUGUACAUAAAUACGAGUGCAUGACAACCUUAAGAUCCAAGGUUGAUGGAAACAAAGUAGAACAGUUCAAUGUAUGAGAAGAGAUAAAGAAAGUAAUAAAAAAGAAAUUUUGAUAUAUGAGAGUGGAUCUAACACCAUUUCCAUACAAAGGAGUAGAGUAACUCCAAAUACACUGAGUUUGGGGUGUUAUAUAUCAAAAUAAAAUUUGAUAUUGGGCAAUACAUCAAUUUAAUACUAGAAACUCUUUGUGAUACCAUUGUAAAAUGGAGCCUCUUAGUCUUAUCUAUUAAAAUGCAAUUCGAUAUCUUUCAAUACUGUUUUGAUACAAUAGUAAAGUAGAGUCUCUUGGUCCUAUAUCAAAAUAUAUUUCGAUACCAUAGUGGAGAUGUCAAAAUCACCCAUUGUAGCUACCCAAAAAUCCAAUGAGCUUAGGAGAUUAUUGAAAUGGAUUUUGAUAUCAUUUUGAUAUUUGAUACCAUGUCGAUACAAUGGAAGUAUAGAAAUUACCUAGUAGAAGCGAGAUAUAGAAAGUUAAAAAGAUUAUCAGAAUAAAUUUCAAUACCAUUUGAAUAUAACUAUAAAAUGGAAGUUCUCAACCUCAUAUAUUGAAAUGCGAUUCGAUACAUUGUGAUAUCAUUUUGAUACCAUAUUAGAAGCACAUCAUAAUUAAGGUUUAGGUAUUUGUUGAAAUCCAUUUCGACACCACUGAGGAGAUAUUGAAAUAUUUGAUGCCUAUUGCAAACUUCUAGAACUUCACUCUAAGCCCUAGGCGUUUUUUUUUUUCAUUGAAAUCAUUAAUAAAGAGUAAGAAGUAAUUGUUUUUAUUGAAAGAAUUUAGAUAAAUCGAUCAACACGUGUCAUAUGAAUUUUGAAAGUUUCUUUAAUAUUGUAGUUGCUUCUUUUGGAGAACUUUUCCAAAAAUACCUUCCAAAAAUUAAUAUAGGUGAUCGUAAUUUCCUAUCUUGGUACAUAGUUUAUAGUUCAAGUCACUUAUUAUUUUUUUCCUUAUAAAAAACCCCAAAAAUGUUGAUAAUGGCCUAUUUAUUCAUGUUUUCUUAAAAUUGUUUUAAAAAUUAUUUUUAAGUUAAAAAAAUAAAAUUUUCUAUUUUCUAAAACCAAUGGUGUUUGGCAAGUGGUUUUCAAAAAUACUUGGACCAAUCGGCUCUAAUAGACACUUACAAUAUUUCUCAAAAGAUGUCUUACUCUUACACUCCCUAUACUUGAGAAACCUUAAGUAAUAUCUUACACUUAGAUUUUUUUUUUCCCUCAAAUAAUAGCCCAUAUUUGAGCUUAUCUCACAAGAUUUACAAGAAAUAUGUUUCUCAAUAAAUAUUCCUACUUCACAAAUUUUUACUAAAAAAUAUAAGGAAACUAGGAUUAAGAGGUGCACUAAGAAUUGAAUAUAAGUUUUAACUUAAAUACAUAGAAGAUGAUGGUUGGAGAUGGGUUAGGUGAAAAAAAGAAAAGGAAAAAAAAAAGAAGAGGAAAUAGGAAGUACCAGAAAAAGGAAGGAAUAGGAAAAAAAAAAUGGGGAAGGGGAGGUGGUCUGGUCACUGGUGGUGCACUUGAGUGGGAGAAAAUGAGGAGAAUUAAAAAAAAAUGGUAAAAUGAAGUAAGAAAAAAAGGAAAAGAAAAAUAAAGAAAAAGAAACAAAAAAUAAAUAGAUAAAUAAAUAAAAUAAAUGCUAGGUUUCAAAGCGUGUGAAUGGACCAAAAAAUUUAUGUAAAAAAAUAUUUUGGACAAGUUCUAAGGUCUACAAUAAUUAUAUGAAAAUGAAAAACAACGAAACCAUUUUAUAAACCAAUUUUAAUUCAUAAAUUUUAUUGGCAAAUGAGAUUUUUUUUUAGUUCUAAAUUAUUUUUAAAUUAAUCGUCUCAUUAAAAAAUCUAACACUUGAAGUUUUGCAUGACUUUUUAAUCUAUUUGUUCAUUGAGCUGAAAUCCUGGAUAUUUUGUCGGUAAGACCAGCCAUCGCUCCUCCUUCGCGGAAAAAAAAAGGGAGAAUUAUCCAAAAGGGUGGGUUAGAAAAACUAAUGACUAUGAAGGCUCACUCUUUUAGAGGACAAUUUUACCUUUUAAUAUGUUUUUUAUAUUAUUUAUAAAUAAAUUGAGAUUGUCAAUGAUGUGGGAUCCAUACAUGAUGAUAAGUACAAGUUAAUAAAUGAUGUGGAACCUAUACAUGAUGAUAAGUACAUGUUGAUAGGCAAUCAAUGGUACAUUUUUCAACUUGAAAAAAUUGUUAUCACUUUUGAACAAUUAACUAUUUAAAAAUUUGUUAUUUUUUUUUCAAAUUGAGAUUUUUUAAAGAACCUUAUAAAAAAAAAUUUUAAUAUCUCAUAAAUAAAAACCAUAUCCUAAAAUUAUUAUAUCGUUUUAUAUAUAAAACAUACAAUUAAAAACUUUGUUAUCAUAAUAUAAUAAAUAAUUAUUUUUUUACGAGCACUCAUCAAUUGAAUAAUAUAUAAAUAUUCAAUUGAUUAACACACACCUAUUAAAUGGAAUAACUCACAAUUAUUCAUUGGGUAAUAUAGCACAUGAAAAAAUUAAAUAAAAAUAAAUUAAAUUAUUUUAUAAUAUAUUGUAAUGAUAGUGUAUUUAUAUUGUAAGUAUAAUGCAUUUAUGUUGUACCUAUAUUUCAUUAUAAAAGUAAUAAUUUUAAAAAUGUUUAUUCAUACCCUAUUGGUAUUAACACAUCGUAUUAAUAUAUUAACAACAUUUAUUUAGUGUUUUGAAAUUAUUUAAUAAUUUUUGUAUAUAUAUAUAUAAACUACGUGAAUUCAAAUUAGUAUUUCAUUUGAUUUCAGAAAUUAUUUAUGAUAUAGGUAUGUUGUGAAAUAUUGUAUGAUCAUACAAAAUUACCAUUUUUAUAAAAAAAUUCAUAAAUUUCUUAAUUAGGUUUUAUUGUAAUGUAAGUGUAUUUAUAUUGUAAUUAUAAUAUAUUUUUGUUGUACUUGUAUUGUAUAAUAAAAGUAAUAAUCUUAAGGAUCACCUUUUAUACCUUAUUAAUAUUCAACAUAUCAAAUAUAUUAACAUCAUCUACUCGAUGCAUUGAGAAAAAAAAAUUAUAUGAAAAUUAAAAAAAAAAAAAACACUAUGCAAAGGAAAAAAAAUCAUAUAAAUUUUUUUAAAUUAUUUUAUUAUAAAAAUAAAAAUGAUUAAACAUUUUCUAUCAUUUUCUUAUUAUUUUUAGAUAAUCUGAAUGAAAAAUUAAAAAUUUUAUCUUCCUUAAAUUUAAUACAAAAACAUAAUUUAUCAAUUUAAAAUUAUAAUAUAUAUAUGUAUAUAUAUGAAAAAAUCAUCAUUUUUAUUAUAUAAUUAUAAAACUUAUUUUUUUCUUCAUAAAAUUGAAAAUUAGAAUAAAAAUAAAAAAGGUAAAAAAACAAUAAAUGAUAUUUUGAAAAUAAUUUUUAAAAGUAUUUUUGUUUUAAAUAGUAAAUUUAAGUAACAAAUUAUAUAUAAUUGUAAGAGUUAAAUCCAAAAUUUUGAUUUAAAAUUUAAAUAUCAAUAAUUACAAUAAAUGUGGGACCCAUGUACCAUAAAUGUAUUGACAAAUCAAGUGAAGUGUUUUAAAUGCUUUGAAUUUUAAAAGUUUUAAUUAAAGGGCAGUUUUGGUAUAUUAAGCUUACUAAAGUCCUCCCCAAUAAUUAUUAAAAUAUACCACCCUUUCUAGUAAUUGUUUUGCCCAACCUACCUUUUUGGGUAAUUCUCCAAAAAAAAAAAAGUACAUGAUAUACAAUGUGGAUUUGAGUCAGCUUUUAAAAAGAUUUGAUAGUUUUAAUAUCAUAUCAGAGUUUUGUUUGGUGGGAGGUCUUAGGUGCAAGCAACAUUGUAAUCCUAUUCUUGCUCUUGAAAAAUCCUACAUUCCUUAAUGACUAGUAGAACUUUUCUCCCACUCAAGAUCAACUCCUUAACCCCAAUUGGUUCUGAUUGCUUAGCACUAUAUGAACAUGUCAUGCAAUAAGGGAUGACUCAAACUUGGGCUAGAAAGGGCCACGUCGAAGUACUUCAAAAUCACAUGUUUUCGUGAUUUUGGGGAGCAUUUCAAGUUUUUAUCACAUGGCUGCAAUUAUGAUUUCGUGACGGAAAAGAAAACGUUGAAUAGCACGUGUACAUCCAAGUGGACCAGAUGCAUGCCGUAGUUUGGAAUCAUUUUGCAGAAGGAAUACAAACCAAAGGAUUUUCUUGUCUAAAGAACUUGCUUAGGCAGUGGAAACGGAAAUGACUUGCAGGUAAAUUUAUUCAUUAAGAUUGCACUGAGGCCAUGAGUAUCUCCAAUGGGAUGCAAAAGAGGAUGCUGUUCUUGUAGGAAGAGUGUAAAUUUCACUACAUCAAAGCGUAUCUCCAAUAGGCUGAGGCAAAAAUUUCACUCAUUUAUUUUUUGAGUGUUUCUGUAUGGUAGAUUCUCAAGGAGCAAGGACUUCAUAUGCUCCUCAAGGCCAGGAAGGCACUGUUGGUCAUCAUAACUAUACAUCAAAGGGACCAUUCUUGCAAUAUUGAGGGAGCCUUUUGUAAAAGAAGUUGAAAUUGGAUUUGGAGAGAGGCAUUCCUUGUUGAGGCGCUUCCACAUAUCUGAAAUCAUAUGGGCUACGAUUUAUCUUGCAUUUUCAACUGAAGAGCCUCGGUGUUCCUUCAAGUAGCACUCUACAUAGGACCCAUCAUGCCCGUCUUGAUUCUCAUCCUGUCAAUUUAUUCAACUUAGGGUGGUUCUCUGAAACCAAACAUUAUGACAUACCACUUCAAAACAUCAAUUAGGCCAACACUACAUUUAACUUUUAAGGCCACCUCAAAAUAACUUUUUAUAAACCAAACAUGAAAAAUUGUAGACGGAUUAAUUAACAACCUGCAUGUGGUUGGCAUUUACCUUGCCGCUUCCGAGGUCAUCCCAAAGACGAAGAAUUGUUGCUGUAGAAGAUAUAAUGCCUGGAAAGUCAUCCACAAGAUCUACAUUUUCCUUGGUUAUGCCAUGACCCAAUAGAAAAAACAAGUGAACUAGCACCACAUGUACCCCUGAACUAACGGCCCCAUUCUUCAAGUACUCCUCAGCCUUUGGCACAUGCCCAGAAGCAAACCAUUUUGCCUCUACUAGAAAUGCGUUGCAUAAACUCGCCCACUGCAGCAAUGGGGGAUCUGUUAAGCGUGCUACAUUUGUAAUCCCACUGAAACCCAUACAAAAAUGUUUUGAAUAUUACCGCCUUCCGUAGAGAGCCUACUGGGUUCCACUUAUGCUCCUUGUGGACCUUGGUACUGAUCUCAUUCGUGAUGUCAUCAAGAGUCUUGAAACACAUCUUCAUGUACUCUGGAAGCUCUUUGAAAGCAGACAAAUCCCAUCUAUAUACAAUAAUUAAUGACACAAAUUAGUGGAACUAUGUGUAUAUAUAUACACACACAUAUAUAUACACACACACACACGCCCAUUAGCGAAUCAAUGAAUUAAUUCCAUAGUCCAUUUCUACCUAUUAACAGCUUCUGUGAACAGAGUGAGUUCAUCAAGGGUUCCACCAACAUCAAAAAUGUCAUCUAUUAUGUAGAUUAGAGAGAUAGGUUUUGUGAGCUCAAUCCUUUGCUCUGACAACCUUGGAUCUGGGAUGAUUGCCAUUGGCCACAUGUACCAUUUCAGUGGUUGAUCUCUUGCAAACUUCAACUCCUCGGUCAAACCUAGGUCCUUCCACCAUCUAAUAAUUAAUAUGGCAAAUAUUAGUUAGAGAUCAAAGUGUCUUAAGAAUAUAUAACAAGAAAGUAAAUAUAAUCACAAUGCAAUUUUUCAAACAGACUUGGAAAUUUGAAGCAUCUCCUUUUGAUGCACGGAUUUAACCGUAUUGAAAUCUAUUUUUGCUAAUUCUUGAAAUGCAUUUAUCCAUCCAUUUGUGCCCUGGAAAUCAGUAAGGAAGUUUUUGGUCAUGAACCGUGCCAAGCUCUUGUGGUGGGGAUGCUCCAAUGUAUUCUUAACAACUGCAGCUUGAUGACGAUCAAGAUGUUGCAAACAUGCAUUAAGGAGUAGACUGCUGAAAUUUCCGGCUUCCUCAAGUAUAUCUUCUCCUAUACUUAGCUGAGAAGCUUCAUACAAACCCAUCAAUCCUCUGAUGUCUUCGCGUAGGUUUUGUUUAAACUUCCCCUCCUUGUUCUUGAAGUUAUUCAACACAUCUAUCCAUGAACAUUAACCAGUAAAUUCACUUUCAGAAACAAACGACUCUUGAUAAAUGUCGGUAAGAUUAAUUAAAAAAGAAAAAAGAAAUAAAAAGAAAAAGAAACCACCUGCGGGCAGAGUGUAACCUCAUAAAGAUCCUCAUCACAAUCACCAUGAAUGCUAGAUUUCAUAUACUGCUUCUGCAGAACUGCUUCAAUCUCCUCUUCGAAGUGAUGAUCAAUGCCUAGGCGUUGUAUGGCAUCAAUCAUCAUCAUGCUUUCCAUUGCAUCUUCUCCUAGUUUGCUGAAUACAUGCUUAACUUCCUUUAACUUUUGUGCAUGUUCAUUGUAGAACUCAUCCUGUAAAGUUAGGAAAUUAGAAAGUUAGAAAAUGCAUGGCAUAAUAAGAACUAUAAAAUAAAUGGAAAGCAGUAAGGCAAUCUUAACAGUAAAACUGCCAAAGUUCAGGUGNNNNNNNNNNNNNNNNNNNNNNNNNNNNNNNNNNNNNNNNNNNNNNNNNNNNNNNNNNNNNNNNNNNNNNNNNNNNNNNNNNNNNNNNNNNNNNNNNNNNCUUCCUCAAGUAUAUCUUCUCCUAUACUUAGCUGAGAAGCUUCAUACAAACCCAUCAAUCCUCUGAUGUCUUCGCGUAGGUUUUGUUUAAACUUCCCCUCCUUGUUCUUGAAGUUAUUCAACACAUCUAUCCAUGCACAUUAACCAGUAAAUUCACUUUCAGAAACAAACGACUCUUGAUAAAUGUCGGUAAGGUUAAUUAAAAAAGAAAAAAGAAAUAAAAAGAAAAAGAAACCACCUGCGGGGACAGUGUAACCUUCUUGUCUCAAUAGGCGAAAGCGGAGUGCAACCUCAUAAAGAUCCUCAUCACAAUCACCAUGAAUGCUAGAUUUCAUAUACUGCUUCUGCAGAACUGCUUCAAUCUCCUCUUCGAAGUGAUGAUCAAUGCCUAGGCGUUGUAUGGCAUCAAUCAUCAUCAUGCUUUCCAUCGCAUCUUCUCCUAGUUUGCUGAAUACAUGCUUAACUUCCUUUAACUUUUGUGCAUGUUCAUUGUAGAACUCAUCCUGUAAAGUUAGGAAAUUAGAAAGUUAGAAAAUGCAUGGCAUAAUAAGAACUAUAAAAUAAUGGAGAGCAGUAAGGCAAUCUUAACAGUAAAACUGCCAAGUUCAGGUGAAUGGUUAUCUUUCUUUAAGGGGAUAGAAACCAAGGUGUGAUCGUGGGCAAUACUCCAUUUGUGCGUAUUAGGCAUAGGCACAAUUCUGGUGAAGUUAGUCUUGCCUAUUUCUCUGAAUUCGUUUGGGCCAACUGCAGGAA
rnacentral:lncRNA from 1 species